rnacentral:rRNA from 1 species
AUUGAACGCUGGCGGAAUGCUUUACACAUGCAAGUCGAACGGCAGCACGGACUUCGGUCUGGUGGCGAGUGGCGAACGGGUGAGUAAUAUAUCGGAACGUGCCCAGUCGUGGGGGAUAACGUAGUGAAAAUUACGCUAAUACCGCAUACGAUCUAAGGAUGAAAGCGGGGGAUCGCAAGACCUCGCGCGAUUGGAGCGGCCGAUAUCAGAUUAGGGUAGUUGGUGAGGUAAAGGCUCACCAAGCCAACGAUCUGUAGCUGGUCUGAGAGGACGACCAGCCACACUGGAACUGAGACACGGUCCAGACUCCUACGGGAGGCAGCAGUGGGGAAUUUUGGACAAUGGACGCAAGUCUGAUCCAGCCAUUCCGCGUGCAGGACGAAGGGCCUUCGGGUCGUAAACUGCUUUUGUACAGAACGAAAAGGUCUCUAUUAAUACUAGGGGCUCAUGACGGUACUGUAAGAAUAAGCACCGGCUAACUACGUGCCAGCAGCCG